ensembl:lncRNA
AUUUUAACAACAAAAGUAUAGAUAACCCCCCCCUCCCAAAAUGGUUUGUUCCAGCUCGCCCCCACUCUGGCUCUAGGGUCGUUGCUGCCAGAGCGAUGGUAGCUGAGACGCAGCGGAGCGGAGGUGGAGUGCCUGGAUUAAAACAGGACAUAUUAGCAGCAUUUUAACCUUCAGUUACUCUUUAUGUAGUUAGAUAGGAGUCAUGUUUCUUUUUAGCCGAAAAACCUUACACCCAGAGAGACAGCCAGGUUCAUAAUGGAUAUAAGGAAGUUUUUAAAAAAACAGGAGCCACAUUCAGUCCAAAGAGGGAGAGAGGAAAGAGGGGAACGUGAGGAGAAAGUACAAGGUCAGGAAGAACCAGGUGGCCCUGUGACUUUACUGACACAGAGGUCAAGGCCGAGCACCUGAUGGCAAAGAAUGUAAUAGCAUUUUCUGAGAACAAGAGCCGGCGACUGAGUGGAUCUCUCAUGAAGGGAAAACCAUGUGGGUCCCACUACUGAAGAGAGACUGCUUUACAAUCCAGUGCCCAGGGCCCACCCUAUAUGCAGUUCUCUGCAUUAGCAGCCUGAGAUCUACCUUUGACUUUUUUAUAACAGACUUUUAAAAAAAAAAAUAUAUAUAUAAUAUUAUUAUAAAGUAAAAAAGGCAAAGGGGUUCACCUUGGCAGAGAAACUCCUCAGAUGAAAACUGGCUCUUGUUGGCACAAUCAGGGGAAACAACGCAGAGCUACCUCCCCAGCUUGUCCAGUUGCAACAGAUGAAGAUUUUGUUGUCUGUCUUUGCCUUCACCAAAGCUACCACGCUGAUAUCCCACAUGCCAAAGCAAUGGAGGAAUGGGCUUCUUUUGAGCACAACACACAGGGAACCAGCAGUCAGUGAUGGGGAAUAGAGGAAGCCUGGAAGCAAGAAGCAAUCCUGGACUGCAAUAGGCACAAAUAGUGUGUGGAUGACCUAGACAGGAUGUUGACACCUUGAGUUGUUGAAGGAAAACUGGCUGCUGGCUUUUUUCUACAAUCUCCUGGAUGUCUUGGAAUACAAUACCUUUGUCCCGUGGAAGCCACUUCACAGGAUGGGAGUCUUUUAAAACCUACCAAUGAAGAGUGAUCCUAGGAGAGCUGGGGCACAUGCUGGUGACCUCAGCAGCUGCAAGAUAGCUUUGUUCCCAAUGCUCAUUAGUCGCUUCUGCCACUGAUCCCAAGAUACUGUAGUCUGAAUCAGAGUGUGACCCACACCCCACCAACAAAAUGAGAAAAAGGUGCAGAAGGUGCACCUGCAGGAUUAGAACAGCAGCCACUUUCUCCAGCUGUGGAAGUGUGCCUACAAAGACCACUCUACUGUGGUUAGCACAUCCUGCUGCUAAUGAGGAUGCACACACACGCACAAACUGAAAUACAAAUUUUGCUCAUUGUAGUGGUCAUUUGGUCAUUAAAUUGCCAUUUCUAGCCACUAACAUGCCAUGUGGGAGUUUCUUUUUGGUUAUCCAUUAAAAGAAGUAAUAAUGCAAAAGAAGCUUUGUUACUGUUACUGGUGCUGACCUGCAAUGGUGACUGAAAAAAAUAUGAAUUUUCAUCAAUUACAUGGUGAAAAAAUUGGAACUUUAUUGCUAUUUCUCCUAAAAAGUUAGUAGUAAUGUGUAAUUUGACUGGUAUUUGAAGGGUAUAGUUUCGGAAUUUGAAAAAUAUUUUGGUUUUCAUGACUAGGACUGGUACUAAUUUAAAAAAUCAAGUUGGUCAAAGUAGAAAAAUGUUUUGGGUUUUUUUUGCCUGUCCCAUUUGGUUCUUUAGCCAUCAGAAUUAUUGUCUGAAGGCAAAGAAAGAUGCCCAACAGUAGAAAAUGUUUUAAAUAUAUAUGAAUUUUAUAGCAUUAAGUGAAUGUAAACAACAGGUUGGCCAUUUUUGGCCAUGAACGUGCUGAGAGAGUUUUUCUGUUUUUCUGUCACUGCACAACAAUAUAAUAAGGCAUAAAAAUCAUUGAUACUGUUAAUUAUUUUUAUACAUGUAGCUGCAAUGAUGGUUAAAAAUAAAUCAGGCUGCAUGUAUUACUUGGACAAAAAAAGUUGGAUUUUAUGAUUUUCUCAAUUUGUGGAUACUUACAAACGAACAAGCUGAGAGAAAGUUUGAUCUAUUUUGCUUUCCCUGCACAAAAAUAACAAAAGAAAAUAAUCAGUGUUGAUGUUAAUCGAUUACAUGUCCAAGACUCUACCAUUAAUGAUACAAGAAAAUCCAGUAACAAUGCGAUUAUAUGAAAUGGUGAGUUUUGAGGUUGUCUUCCAACACGUGCAUUGUACAAACAAACUGGUGUUUUAAGGGUUAAAAAAAGUAAAAAGUAAUGACUGUU